UACGUAGGGUGCGAGCGUUGUCCGGAAUUACUGGGCGUAAAGAGCUCGUAGGUGGUUUGUCGCGUUGUUCGUGAAACUCACAGCUUAACUGUGGGCGUGCGGGCGAUACGGGCAGACUAGAGUACUGCAGGGAGACUGGAAUUCCUGGUGUAGCGGUGGAAUGCGCAGAUAUCAGGAGGAACACCGGUGGCGAAGGCGGGUCUCUGGGCAGUAACUGACGCUGAGGAGCGAAAGCGUGGGGAGCGAACAGG
rnacentral:rRNA from 1 species